rnacentral:rRNA from 1 species
ANAUGCAGUCGNCGGAAGGCCUUCAGCUUGCUGGAGGUACUCGAGUGGCGAACGGGUGAGUAACACGUGGGUGAUCUGCCCUGCACUUCGGGAUAAGCCUGGGAAACUGGGUCUAAUACCGGAUAGGACCCUCCUUUAGUGUGGGGGGUGGAAAGUUUUUUCGGUGCAGGAUGAGCCCGCGGCCUAUCAGCUUGUUGGUGGGGUAAUGGCCUACCAAGGCGUCGACGGGUAGCCGGCCUGAGAGGGUGGACGGCCACAUUGGGACUGAGAUACGGCCCAGACUCCUACGGGAGGCAGCAGUGGGGAAUAUUGCACAAUGGGCGCAAGCCUGAUGCAGCGACGCCGCGUGGGGGAUGACGGCCUUCGGGUUGUAAACCUCUUUCGACAGGGACGAAGCUUUUUGUGACGGUACCUGUAUAAGAAGCACCGGCUAACUACGUGCCAGCAGCCGCGGUAAUACGUAGGGUGCGAGCGUUGUCCGGAAUUACUGGGCGUAAAGAGCUCGUAGGUGGUUUGUCGCGUCGUCUGUGAAAUUCCGGGGCUUAACUCCGGGCGUGCAGGCGAUACGGGCAAUACUUGAGUGCUGUAGGGGAGACUGGAAUUCCUGGUGUAGCGGUGAAAUGCGCAGAUAUCAGGAGGAACACCAAUGGCGAAGGCAGGUCUCUGGGCAGUAACUGACGCUGAGGAGCGAAAGCAUGGGUAGCGAACAGGAUUAGAUACCCUGGUAGUCCAUGCCGUAAACGGUGGGCGCUAGGUGUAGGGGUCUUCCACGACUUCUGUGCCGUAGCUAACGCAUUAAGCGCCCCGCCUGGGGAGUACGGCCGCAAGGCUAAAACUCAAAGGAAUUGACGGGGGCCCGCACAAGCGGCGGAGCAUGUGGAUUAAUUCGAUGCAACGCGAAGAACCUUACCUGGGCUUGACAUACACCGGACCGGGCCAGAGAUGGUCUUUCCCUUGUGGCUGGUGUACAGGUGGUGCAUGGUUGUCGUCAGCUCGUGUCGUGANAUGUUGGGUUAAGUCCCGCAACGAGCGCAACCCUUGUCUUAUGUUGCCAGCACGUUAUGGUGGGGACUCAUGNAAGACUGCCGGGGUCAACUCGG